rnacentral:rRNA from 1 species
UCUGCCCGGUGUCGGCUGGGUAACGGAGAGGUUUAAAAUUAAAAAGUUAGGUCUUGAAGGAAACCCCGAUAAACGGCGGCCUUACCGAUGAGGGUCCUAAGGUAGCGGAAUACCCUGGCCGUUAAAUGCGGUCUUGCAUGAAUGAUGUAACGAUACAACAGCUGUCUCGAUGAUUGGCUCAGUGAAAUUGGAAUAGCAGUGCAGAUACUGUUUACCUCUAGUUAGACGAGAAGACCCUUUGCAGCU